AGUGAACGCUGGCGGUAGGCCUAACACAUGCAAGUCGAACGGCAGCACAGUAAGAGCUUGCUCUUACGGGUGGCGAGUGGCGGACGGGUGAGGCAUACAUCGGAAUCCACUUUUUCUGGGGGGAUUACGUAGGGAAACUUACGCUAAUACAGCAUACUAUCUACGGGUGAAAGCAGGGGAUAUUCGGAACUUGGGCGACAGAAUGAGCCGAUGUCGGAUUGGCUAGUUGGCGGGGUAAAGGCCCACCAAGGCGACGAUACGUAGCUGGUCUGAGAGGAUGAUCAGCCACACUGGAACUGAGACACGGUCCAGACUCCUACGGGAGGCAGCAGUGGGGAAUAUUGCACAAUGGGCGCAAGCCUGAUCCAGCCAUACCGCGUGAGUGAAGAAGGCCUUCGGAUUGUAAAGCCCUUUUGUUGGGAAAGAAAAGCAGCAGAUUAAUCCCCCGCUGUUCUGACGGUACCCAAACAAUAAGCACCGUCUAACUUCGUG
rnacentral:rRNA from 1 species